GAUGGAUCAAUACGGUCGACAGAAGUUUUAACUAUCUGGAGUGCGGAUAAAUUUUUACUGAGAGUCGUAUAGGAAUCUAUAAUCUAGUACUUUCCAAAAUACGCCGAGAGUAUUCCUGAUGGUGAAACGAGCGUUGCUUCAUCGAACGCAGCUAAAGAAAACAACAUCUAUGUAGUUGGUGGUACGAUGCCUGAAAUAGAGGGCGCUAAAUUGUACAAUACCUGUACUAUUUGAGGUCCCGAUGGAACUUUGAUAGCAAAACACCGAAAGGUACAUCUAUUCGACAUCGACAUUCCUAAUAAGAUUACUUUUCGAGAGAGUGAUUCACUCAGUCCUGGUAACUCCCUAACGACGUUCGAUGUGAAGGGCUGCAAAAUAGGUAUUGGCAUUUGCUAUGAUAUUAGAUUCGAGGAAAUGGCACGCAUUUAUCGGAACAAAGGUUGCCAAAUGCUGAUAUAUCCAGCGGCAUUCAAUAUGACCACUGGACCACUGCACUGGUCAUUACUUCAGCGUUUCAGAGCGAAUGAUAAUCAAUUAUACGUUGCCUGCAUAUCACCGGCUCGUGUUCCUUAAGCAAGUUACGUCGCAUGGGGACAUACACAGUUGACCAAUCCCUGGGGAAAGAUUCUUUACGAUUUGGAAACUCAAGAGAAUAUGGCAGUCACCGAUAUCGGUAAUUUACAGCUUAAAAUUAAAAGCGAGAGAUCCAUGAUGUAAUUAAUUUUUAGUCUCGUUAAUUUAUCGAUUUAGCCAUCUUCCUCUGUAUUUGUUGAAUUUAUUAGUAAGCAUUACUUAUUACUUCGUAUGUUUCUUUUUUCUAUCAGAUCUAAAAGUUGUUGAGGAAGUAAGGGCUCAGAUACCUACAUUUUCUCAGAGACGUACAGAUUUGUACGACACUGUCUGUAAGAAGGAGUAACUCUACACUAAAACAGAAAAUGUUUUUUUAUAAUAUUUCUACUACGAUAUCCUUUUUUUGUGAAUUAUUACUAAUUUCUUAUCAUUUGUACUAAAUGAAUGACUCAAUUAAGAAAACCAAAACGUUAUAAAUAAUAAUCUGUAUAUCUUGUGUAUCAACAUGUAAUUGGAUAUUAUAAUAAUAUAGGAAUGCUAUAAUAAUAUAGGAUAAUAAUAUAGGAGAAUAGUAAUAUAGAAAAAAACUACAUGCUUUUAAACACCUUUAAUAUCGAUCACAUAAAUUGUUAUAAUUCACAAUGAUUACGCAUACAUAAAAGACCCCUUGAUAGUAAAAUUUACGAUCAAAAGGCAAUUACGUAUCGUUUAACAACAUUUAAUUUAUAACACCUUUUAAACAUUUAGACAGAUUAACACAUAACACUUCUUAUAUAUAAACAUCAAUUCGAAGUUAUCAGCUUGGAGAAAUUGGUCGAUUAAUACCUGUAGAUUGUCUGUCUCGAUGAAAGACUUAAAGAGAGCAAAAACAUGAUAAUGCCGCUAAUAUAAUAUUCCUUCUUUCUUGUAUCUGUCUGCCUCUCAGGUCGUUUUACUAAUUACAAUAAGUAAUUUCGCCUUCUUUGCGCUCUCUUUUAACGCAUUCGAGACCGAAAGAAAUUCAUAUCAGUCAGUAGGCAAGGGUAUAAUAUACAUAUUUUAUAUAUAACUUACGUAGUAAUGUAUAUAUCAUGUUAAUUUCAUAUUUUUUUCAAUAUAGAAUUAUUAUAUAUAUAUAUUUAACUGUACAUAAUACAUUAUAGAAUAACAUAGUAUAUAAUUUUAUAUUUUAAAAAUAUGAGGCAUACUAUUUAAGAUUGUCAUCGAUUUAAAAUCAAAGUAUGAAAAGGAUACCCUGGAGAGAGUAAAACACAGAAUCAUUCUAACUAAACAUUCAAAUCGUAGCGACACCUAGGUAUCGUCUUACAAUUAAAUCUCGGUCUCGAAUGGAUUAAAAUGAAAUACAUACUUGCAGCUUCAACAUCUUCAAUAUCGAGGAGAUUCAAACUUUACAAAUAAAUGUAAAUUGCGAUGUAAAACAAAGCGAUGUAAAAAGGGAAAAGGAGGAAAGAAGGAACAGGGAAGCAAAGAGAAGAAACGAAUUUUUCAUUUUCUCGAAACUGGAUCAAGUUUCAGGAAGGCCAUCCAAGUAAUUGAUGUCCUCUGUACUUAUUUGUUAAUCAUGCGCGGAAUCAGAACGAUUCGACCUCGUUCCAAAGCAAAUCGUUACUAGAGUAGAGACGGGAAUUAAUAAUUCGUGUCAAUUGUUCGAUCGUGUUCACAAAUUCAAAUGCGGUUGAGUAGCGGAAACCAUUUAUAACACGUCCCAUACAGCGUAGAUCGCAUACACGUCUUAGGAUGUAUUUUUGGUACUUAUAUAUACUCUAUAUAUAUUCUUA